rnacentral:lncRNA from 1 species
CUGAAAUUUUCAGAUGAAUCGAACAACCCGUUGUUGGGUUGCUGCCCCUGAAUUGAUAAUUUUAAGGAAAUUUUGCUGUUUUUGGUUAUUAUCUUGAAUAUUAUUAUAGAUAGAGAUAAACUGUAAACAGCAAUAAUGUUCAGCAAAGUAAGAUCUACAAAUAAGUCAACAUGACCAAAAUGGUCAGUUGACCACUUUAGGAGUUAUUGUCCUUUAUAGUCAAUUUUUAACCAUUUUUCGUAAAUCUUAGUAAUCUUUUAGAAAAAUCUUCUCCACUGAAACUACUGGGCCAAAUUUAACCACACUUAGCCAUAAUCAUCAUUGGGGUAUCUAGUUAAAAAAAUGUGUCGGGUAACUCGGCCAACAAACCAAGAUGGCGGCCAUGGCUAAAAAUAGAACAUGGGGGUAAAAUGCAGUUUUGGCUUAUAACUCAAAAACCAAAGCAUUAAGAGCAAAUCUGACAGGAAGUAAAAUUGUUGAUCAGGUCACGAUCUAUCUGCCCUGAAAUUUUCAGAUGAAUCGGAUAAUCGGUUGUUAGGUUGCUGCCCCUGAAUUGGUAAUUUUGAGGAAAUUUUGCUGUUUUUUUUGUUAUCUUGAAUAUUAUUAUAGAUAGAGAUAAACUGUAAACAGCAAUAAUGAACAGCAAAGUAAGAACUAAAAAUAAGUCACUAUGACCAAAAUAGUCGAUUGACCCCCUAAGGAGUUAUGGCCCUUCAUAGUAAAUUUUUAACAAUUUUCUUAAAAUUUGAAGAUUUUCAAUAACAUUUUCCACAGAAAGUACUCUUAUAGAUAGAGAUAAUUGUAAGCAGCAAGAAUGUUUAGUAAAGUAAGAUCUACAAACACAUCACCAUCACCAAAA